rnacentral:rRNA from 1 species
UACGUAGGGUGCGAGCGUUGUCCGGAAUUAUUGGGCGUAAAGAGCUCGUAGGCGGUCUGUCGCGUCGAUCGUGAAAACUUGGGGCUUAACCCUGAGCUUGCGGUCGAUACGGGCAUGACUGGAGUUCGGCAGGGGAGACUGGAAUUCCUGGUGUAGCGGUGAAAUGCGCAGAUAUCAGGAGGAACACCUAUUGCGAAGGCAGCUCGCUGGGACGUAACUGACGCUGAGACGCGAAAGCGUGGGGAGCAAACAGG